GCCUGGUGCUGGGGAGGGGAAGCGAAGGGGCGGGACCCGGCCGCCGCAGCCCGCAGAGCUUCCCUCGCUCCUCCCCGGGGGCUGUCAGCGCGGGCUCCGCCCCCUCGUCCUUCCAAUCGCUCUCGGCCCCGCCUCCCCCGCCCUCCCGUUCUCCGCCCACUUCAGCUGUCGCCGCGCAGCAGCAGUUCUGUUCGGUUUCGCCUUCCUGCUGUGCAGUCUUCUGACGCUUGCUGUCCAACUUUGGAGUUUUCUUGCCUUUUUUUCUCUCAGAGUUGAGCCCCUGCCCGGGCCCUUUAGUCCCUCGGUCACGAGGAACGGUGGAGUUUAGAACCUGCGAUGGAACUCACCAGAGACCAGAUAGCUAGAGAAUGGCUGAACUGGGUUUUAAAUCUAGUCAAUCUUGACCCCAGAGCUCUCCAGCCUAAAGGUACCUGGAUUUAUUGUUUAUUCAGAUUAAGAAAAUAUUAUUAGCAAAUGAACUAACUGAAGACUGAUGGGACAACAUACGGUGCCAAAAUGCUUCAAAAAGAGUUGCUUGCUACUGUUUUCUGAUGUUUCCCCAUGUCCUAUGUAUAAAAUGAAUAAAUAAAUAACAGUUUUUAAAAAUCCA